GGAGUUGUGGCUAAGAGGCAGAGCACUUGCCUACCAUGCAUGAGGCACUGGGUUUGAUCCUCAGCACCA
rnacentral:tRNA from 1 species